GACAGAGGUGGCGAGCGUUAUCCGGAUUUACUGGGCGUAAAGCGCGCGUAGGCGGUUGGGUAAGUCGGAUGUGAAAGCCCCUGGCUCAACUGGGGGAGGUCAUUCGAUACUGCUCGGCUUGAGGAUGAGAGAGGAGAGCGGAAUUCCCGGUGUAGCGGUGGAAUGCGUAGAGAUCGGGAGGAACACCAGCGGCGAAAGCGGCUCUCUGGCUCAUAUCUGACGCUGAGUGCGCGAAAGCGUGGGGAGCAAACGGG
rnacentral:rRNA from 1 species